rnacentral:rRNA from 1 species
CCAGACUCCUACGGGAGGCAGCAGUGGGGAAUAUUGCACAAUGGGCGCAAGCCUGAUGCAGCCAUGCCGCGUGUAUGAAGAAGGCCUUCGGGUUGUAAAGUACUUUCAGCGGGGAGGAAGGCGAUAAGGUUAAUAACCUUGUCGAUUGACGUUACCCGCAGAAGAAGCACCGGCUAACUCCGUGCCAGCAGCCGCGGUAAUACGGAGGGAGCAAGCGUUAAUCGGAAUUACUGGGCGUAAAGCGCACGCAGGCGGUCUGUCAAGUCGGAUGUGAGAUCCCCGGGCUCAACCUGGGAACUGCAUUCGAAACUGGCAGGCUGGAGUUUUGUAGAGGGGGGUAGAAUUCCAGGUGUAGCGGUGAAAUGCGUAGAGAUCUGGAGGAAUACCGGUGGCGAAGGCGGCCCCCUGGACAAAGACUGACGCUCAGGGGCGAAAGCGUGGGGAGCAAACAGGAUUAGAUACCCCCGUCCCA